UGGCUCAGGAUGAACGCUGGCGGCAUGCCUAACACAUGCAAGUCGAACGGAGUUACACGCUGAGACGGAAUCCGGCUUGCCGGAGGAAGACUCUUGUGCAACUUAGUGGCGGACGGGUGAGUAACGCGUGAGCAACCUACCUUUCAGAGGGGAAUAACGGCUGGAAACGGUCGCUAAUACCGCAUGACAUACGGAAAACGCAUGUUAACCGUAUCAAAGAUUUAUCGCUGAAAGAUGGGCUCGCGUCCGAUUAGCUAGUUGGUGAGAUAACAGCUCACCAAGGCGACGAUCGGUAGCCGGACUGAGAGGUUGAACGGCCACAUUGGGACUGAGACACGGCCCAGACUCCUACGGGAGGCAGCAGUGAGGAAUAUUGCACAAUGGGGGCAACCCUGAUGCAGCAAUGCCGCGUGAAGGAAGAAGGUCUUCGGAUUGUAAACUUUUGUCCUUGGUAAAGAAAAGAAUGACGGUAGCCGAGGAGGAAGCUCCGGCUAACUACGUGCC
rnacentral:rRNA from 1 species